rnacentral:rRNA from 1 species
UACGUAGGGCGCAAGCGUUAUCCGGAAUUAUUGGGCGUAAAGAGCUCGUAGGCGGUUUGUCGCGUCUGCCGUGAAAGUCCGGGGCUCAACUCCGGAUCUGCGGUGGGUACGGGCAGACUAGAGUGAUGUAGGGGAGACUGGAAUUCCUGGUGUAGCGGUGAAAUGCGCAGAUAUCAGGAGGAACACCGGUGGCGAAGGCGGGUCUCUGGGCCAUAACUGACGCUGAGGAGCGAAAGCGUGGGGGAGCGAAUGGG